GUUUGCUAGUGAGCUGAGUGCUUCCCAGCAGAACCUGUGUCCCGAGACCUGGAUUUGGAACCUCAGCCUCCGUUUGCUCAGCACUGAACUGGAAAAACACCUAUUUUAACCAAAUCUUUCAGCUUAGCUGGUCCCACAGGCAUUGUGUCCUGACUCAUGCGAGUACCAUACUGCAUACUGAUUCUGGAACUGAUAGGAGCUAUAAACAUACCCAGACCUUAAAUGCUUGGUUGAGCUCCAAUCAGUUCCCACUUUGAGUGCGUGAUAGUAGAAGAAGUUGUAAGGCCUGACAGUGAGAGCAAGGGGCUCUUAACAAGAGAAAUGCCUGACAAACGGCAGCUUUGCUCAGGUUCACCGUUUUAAUUUGAAUGAAACCAGGUUCCUUCAUCCUUGUCUAGCAUUGACUUCCUUGUGAGGCUUUGGUGACUUAGCCAGGAAGGAGCUGUAGCAGUCAGCUGCUUCUCAAAAUACAGUGGUACUUCACCUUUUACCCUGAAGUCCGGUAAUUCCUCUAUUCUGGGUCUUUGACGUGUUCACCUGUGUUGAAUUCAUCAGUGAAUUGCUUCAUCUCCAGUGUUCAUUUCCCAAAGUGGGAUGAUACAGUGGCCUACAUUCUUUUAAGUGAGGAAAGUUGUUUGUUUGUAGGACGUGGUAACUGCUGAGCUCGAAACCAAAACAUCUGCCAUUUGAGCAGUUUAGUCAUGUCAUCAAAAUUUGCCACCAAAGUAGUCCAGACUUAGAAACAUAAAAAGCGUGGGGAGGAAGGAGAGGAGGCAAAUACAUCUGAUUUUAUUAAAAUAAAAGUAAACUGCAACAAGCUAUUGUAUCCUCAGGACACCGUAAUCAGUGAAGUGCUCGUGCUUCUAGCUCAUUCCAAACCCUUUUGUGAAAGGGAGACUGGGAUAAGUGCCUUUCACAAUACAGAAGAUAAAUUUUUGCUUUGAUUCAUCUCCUGUUGUAACAAAGAGAUUUGGGUAUUGAAUGGCAAUUUUCACCUCUGAUGAUGAUGAUGUGUGUGCCUACCUGGGAUAUCUGAGGGAAAAUCUGAAUAUGCAGGCCUGCACCUGUUUCUGCAACUGCUGAAUAACAUGUGGUGACUCUUUGACAGCCUUAAUAUUGUUGGCAACAGCAAAACGUUUUUCCUUUUUGAACUUAAAUUGUGUUUGGGUCAGUGUUUUUUGAACAAAAGAAGCCUGGGACUCCAGGGCAAAAGGUCCUCGUUGUAGUUGAUGGGGCUGGGACCAUGGAGUUCCAAUCCAGCUUGUGUUUACAGACUUGUUAGUCCAAGUCUGUUCUUCCUGCCUCCAUUAUUAAAGCACAGUAUUGGUGCUUUAUUUAUUUAUUUGUCCUUGUUGUAUUACUGAAACUCUUUUCAAGUAGAUUUCAGUACCUUCGUGGCUGAAUUUUUGCUUUUGAGUUUCACAUUUGGCACAAAGAUGAUGCCCACCAUUUCCUGUGGAGAAAAAAUAGACAACUGGGGAAUCCAGCACUGGAGUUUAAGAAUGGAUAUUCUCUUCCCACAUCCCUUGCCAAAGUUAGCAGUUGUAUAAUAUCCCGGGAGGGACGAGGUCAUCAUUUGUUACUCUUUGAGUGACUGACUUUGCAGAUCUCUGAGAAAGCAUUAAUGAUUUGGUGAAACCAAACAAGAUUUUCAUGUGACUGUGUUUCAGUGAAUUAAAUGCUGAAUGUAGAUCCACGGAUAUUUCAUGUAUCACAUAAUCAUAUACAUGUUCUACGUUACAGCACUUGGUCGAAUUUCAUGUCGUACGUCAUUUUGUGUGUAACUAUUGGCCAUUUGUAAUGAAUGUAUUCCUUGUUUCCUGUUACAGUUCUAGCUUAGAGCCAUACCAUACUAAUUUUCCUGUGUUCCUGUGAUGGCACUGAAUGCAAGAUUAGUUUUUUUUUUUUUCCUUAAACCACUGAUGGUUUUAAAGAGCCACCACUGUAGCAAUCCCAACCACUUUGUUUUAUUCUCCUUUUAUAAAGUUUGGAGUCGAGUCCAAGAAAAUUAGCAGUCUUGCUGAGAAGUCAGACUGACUUAAGGACCAAAGGAAUUUGACCCUUAAGUACUCAGAAGGAAGCAAGCACUUGCUGAAUGGAAUGGAUUAAGCUUGUGCACCCUUGUGUUUCAAUUGGAUGUUCAGAACCUCUUGCUGCUGAUGGUUGCUGAGAAAUUACUUCAUCUGAGGCACUUCAGGUUUUGUGAUCAGAAUGCAGGUUCCACACUGCUCCGUGGAAUUGGCUUGAAAAGCCUCUUCUAAAGAGGACUUGUAAGCAAAUGUAGCAUCUAAAGGUUUAAAUACUAAAAUAUUACUUUUUGUUGCUGUAGGCUAUCUAAUCUAAAAAGAUUUUUGCACUCCUGGAGUCAGAAAAGACGACGUACUUGAGUGAGAAGAGCUACUUUUCUCCAGAAAUAUCCCCCAGUGUGUUUUUAGUGAGGUAUGUUUUCCAUCCUGUGAACCUUCAGGCUAAAACUUAGAAAGCAGAGAUGCUUCUUCUAGAUCAGGAUGAGGGAAAGUGUUGCGUAGAAUUAUUGAAAGCGUGUGGCAAGUUGUAGCGGUGCAGGGUUGAGCAGGAAAUAAGCAGGGAAAAGUUGUAUUUUGCUGAGGUUUAGGCGUGGUUCUGUUAGUGCAGAAAGGUGCUAUGAGAAAGGCUGAGGUAUCCUGACGUAUCCUAGGAGUUCUCCCCCAAGAACCUGCAGGGGGGGGCGCAUGUGGUUGGGCUUUCCAUGUGAGCUUCUGAGUACUUGAACCAGUUUACUGAAAUAUUUUCAAAACCCAUUCUGACUGUAUAUUAGCACUUUAAAGCAGCUGGGGAUGGAACGCGGAGCUGUGUCUGGAUAGCAGCAGGUAACGGGCAAAUGAAUUGGUUGAUUCUGUGUUACAUCUAAGGGCAGAUUUCAUAGCAGAGAGCAGCUUCUUUGCCUUCUGGUGCAGUCACAAAGGCAGCUACAAGGGUCAUCUUCUCUGUAGAAUUUAUUCUGUGUGUGGAACAAAUGCAGUAGCAACUUGAAGCUGUAAGGUAGAUGAGCAGACUUAAAAAAUCAUGAUCUUCAUUGGCAAAGUAUACUUUGAAUUCAAGCAAAGAGCUAGUGUGAAUUCUAGCUGGGCGUCAGCUAGACUGAUCUGCACUCUGAAAUUUGCAAUGGAUACAAUUAAUUUGUUCAUUAUUGGUGGGUUCCCAUUGUUUCACUGCUUUGAUUUAACUGCCUGGAUAGAUCUCUAAAGAGCGCUCAAGCUAAGAGCAAAUCAAAUCUACACUGUACAACAAAUGGUGUUUUCUUUAGGAUAAUGACAUUACAAAAUGUCCACAGAAUUAGAUUGUGCCAUUAUUAACGUGUUCUAAAGAGGAAGGGUGAAAUAAGUCGCAAUUUUCCUCUUUUUGAAUAGUGAAUUUGAUUUGUAGCAAUGAAGCUUGAUCUCUGGUUACAGAUCUAAGACGCAUCAUGUUCUCCCCAUUUUUAGGGGGGCAACUGAUGCCUCUUGGAUCCUGGGGCUUUUGAAACUAUGAAGUGUCUGUGCAUAGCAGCGAUCAGUAAGGACUGACCAUGCUGUGCUGAGCUACCAGUGACAUGGGUGUUCACACACUGCCUGUAAGGUCAGAUCCUUUUGCUGCAGAGGGCUCUGGGGCUGCCCUGCAUCAGAUCCUGUGGAAGCACAUUGUAGUACAUCACGAGUAUGGUUGGUCAGACUUGACAAAAGUUGUGUGCCCCUUGUGCUCCGAACAUUAUCAAAAGCAGAUCUUUUCUGAUGUCAAUCAUUUUGUUGGGGUAUGUGUUGAGUCAGCCCAAAUGAGUAGCUGUGCUUAUAAUUGUACAACAAGUGAUACCCAUUAAUGUCAGGAAAUGAAAACAGAAGGCAGGCAUGUUCCCAGUAAUUAAUAACACACAGGAGUGCCUGGCAUGGAGCCCUGAGUUAGAAAUAAUGUAUUUGUUGCUACGGUGCUGAGGGACAUUUUGCAAACUUCCAUGUUUGGGCUGAGCCUUGGACAAGCCAUAAUCCAACAUGACAGACGUUUACAGGGUGGUUAUUCAGUUGUUUCUGUUUAAUAAUGAGUGCACUAUAAAUGAUGAGUGCAUUCCUCACCACAAGUUUCAAAGUGCCUGAUCUUCUGUUACUGUUCCCUUACAUACUGCAACGCUUUUGUCAUUAAAUGUAAAAUCCCCUUUCUUUGACUAUCAGGAGUUCAACUGAACAGCUUAAGGUAUUUCCCACGUGUUAAAAGUAACAUUAUUAUACAUAGCUAUUCUCAUUCCUGUCACGUGUUCUAGCUCUCCUUCCUGAGAACAAAUACUGAAGGUUUUGUAAAGGGUAUUUUUCCUCUAUUUUGUGUAUUUUGCAGUUGGCCAACUAUGCUGUGGUCUCCUCAUGUGAGAUCGUGCUCCUGGGCAGGGUGGGGGGAGGAGAAACAGAUUUAAAUUAGUGUUAAACCUGCUGAUAAGAACGAUGGAAACUAAGGUUAUACAGAUGACUUCUGCAUCCUGCAACCAAGUUCCUCAGCUGCUGUGUCCUGACAUUGCUGGCGAUGCUCCCAGCUGCCCAUGGCAGUGAGGCACCACAACCAGGCUGUCCUCAGCACAACCUGCAGCCCCACCGCAGCCCACAUAGGGAGGCAGGAGCCACUUCUUCAGCCAGCACAGAAUCCUGCUGGAUAGAAGAUGACAGAAACAAUUCCGAAGUAGGACACUCAACGUCAACGAAAUACGUGCAGAGAACGCGCCUUGAAAGAGGAGAGCCUCAUAGCUACAGAGGUGGACCAAUUCACCAGCAUUUAUGUGUUUGUUAAACGAGUGCCCCUGCUGAUGUGCCUUCCUCUGAGCGAUGCUCCCAGGGGGAGCUGAGUCCAAUGAAGGCAGCCAUGUUCCACUUACGUUUGUACAGAGAUCCUGCGAUGCGUAAAAGAGAACAGAAUUAUCUUAAUUGCAACUACAAAUGCAACAGUCAUAAAUGGAAUUAAUUGGCCUGCAGAGGUCAAAAGAAAAGCUGUUGAAAAAUGCUUUGCUGUUGGUUGUGAAAUUUGGAGGGCAUCAUUGACAAAACUCUAACCCACACCGCUUUCUUACUUAUCUAAUUGUAUUGUAAUUGCUGCUAUUUGUAAAUGUACAUGAAUAUACAAAGAUUAC
ensembl:lncRNA